GGAUUAGAUACCCUGGUAGUCCACGCAGUAAACGAUGAUAACUAGGAAUUUGCGAUAUGACAGUAAGUUCUACAGCGAAAGCGUUAAGUUAUCCACCUGGGGAGUACGCCGGCAACGGUGAAACUCAAAGGAAUUGACGGGGGCCCGCACAAGCGGAGGAACAUGUGGUUUAAUUCGAUGAUACGCGAGGAACCUUACCCGGGUUUGAACGUGGUUUGACCGCUCCAGAGAUGGAGUUUUCCGCAAGGACAGAUCACGAGGUGCUGCAUGGUUGUCGUCAGCUCGUGCCG
rnacentral:rRNA from 1 species